rnacentral:rRNA from 3 species
UACGUAGGGGACGAGCGUUGUCCGGAAUUACUGGGCGUAAAGGGCGCGCAGGCUGUGCUGCAAGUCAGCUGUUAAAUGUCUGGGCUUAACCCGGGCAUGCGGUUGAGACUGCGGUGCUGGAGUGCUGUAGAGGCAAGUGGAAUUCCCAGUGUAGCGGUGAAAUGCGUAGAUAUUGGGAAGAACACCGGUGGCGAAGGCGACUUGCUGGGCAGCAACUGACGCUGAGGCGCGAAAGCCAGGGGAGCAAACGGG